rnacentral:rRNA from 1 species
UGAGGAAUAUUGGUCAAUGGGCGCAAGUCUGAACCAGCCAAGUAGCGUGCAGGAUGACGGCCCUAUGGGUGGUAAACUCCUUUUUUAUGGGGAAAAAUUGGGGAACGUGUUCCCUUUUGCAGGUACCAUAUGAAGAAGGACCGGCUAAUUCCGUGCCAGCAGCCGCGGUAAUACGGAAGGUUCGGGCGUUAUCCGGAUUUAUUGGGUGUAAAGGGAGCGUAGGCCGUUUGGUAAGCGUGUUGUGAAAUGUAGGAGCUCAACUUCCAGAUUGCAGCGCGAACUGUCAGACUUGAGAGCGCAGAACGUAGGCGGAAUUCAUGGUGUAGCGGUGAAAUGCUUAGAUAUCAUGAAGAACUCCGAUUGCGAAGGCAGCUUACGGGAGCGCAACUGACGCUGAAGCUCGAAGGUGCGGGUAUCGAACAGG